GAGAUUCAGAAGACGACAAACUUAUAUAAUACACCUGCUCAUAGAGAUGUACUGAUAUCCAUCUAUUCCACGUAAUGAAAAAGACAACAGAUUUUCACGUCUUUUGGAUACAUACCUAGAAGCGGAAUCACUGGGUCUUAUGGAAAGAGCUCAUCAACUGUAUUAGAAACUGCCUAGUUGUGUUAUAUACCUCAUAAAAGAAGCAAAACAGCAACAGCAAACAGAGGCCAUGUGUAUAUCCUGGAAAGCAGCCUUCUCCUUGGCCUUGAUUGAUGAUGACAGUUCAAAUCUACCUCAAUCUCUCCCAUUGCAUUCUUAAUGCUAAAGAGCUGCUUGUAUGUUACCUUAACCCAGCCACAGUGGAUUUAUGGGUGUGCACACAGACCAGCUUAUCAAUGAACAUUUUCCAAAUUCAGGAAGUUCCUAGAAAGAAGGGGAUUCAUCCCAGUGCAACAUCCAUGCUGUUGAGGAUGCUAAUAUGCAAAAAGUUUCAGGGUCUAUUAAAGUUGCUGCUAACACACUUGGCAAGUCACUGUACAACCUAGAAAAGGGCACGUUCCUGUGACACAAAUGAGGAACAUUGAAAAUAAGUACCUCACCCGAGAAGACCAAAUAGAAAAAAAGACCUGAUCUCCUGGGCUGAGGCAGUCCAGGCAGGACACAGAACAUGGUGAACAGAGUGGUCCGUGGGUUUUAUCUCAUCAUGCCUACUUGGCCAGGUGCCUCUGUGUAGGACAUAGGAUGCACAGCCUAUGCAGUGGCUCUGGAUUUCACAUAUCACCUGAAUUACAAAUCAAUAUGAUGAUGGGUAAUUUGGGAAUGCUCAAAAAAGGCUUCCACUUCCUGUGCUGCCUAGAUCCUGUUUUGUAAAAUAUGAUCUAUUCCAUUGUAACUUGAAAACUGUGAUUUUUAAACUGAAGUUAUCAGAAACAGCAUCUUCUCUGAAGGCUUUUAUCAGCAUGAAAUAGUGGAAAAAUUAAAUGCUGGGGAGUUAGGCAAAUGUGUAAUCCAAACUUUAACAUGUGUGGUGAGAUGUUGGUCAAGUUACUUAAAACUCUCUUAACCUUUCCUGAUACAGAAAAUGGAGAUAAUAAUGGCUGAUGGCAGGAUAAAUGAAAUAACAUACGAAAUGCUUAUUAAAUGGUCCACAGAACAUAGUUGUAUAUAUCUGGCUUCAAUCCUACAUGGAAAGAAGAUAGAUAUAUAAUCAUCUGGCAUAGAAAGUUGGCUGUUCUUUUCAUUAAAGCCUGAUUUUGAAUAUGAG
rnacentral:lncRNA from 13 species